rnacentral:rRNA from 1 species
UGGGGAAUUUUGGACAAUGGGCGAAAGCCUGAUCCAGCAAUGCCGCGUGUGUGAAGAAGGCCUUCGGGUUGUAAAGCACUUUUGUCCGGAAAGAAAUCCUUGGCUCUAAUACAGUCGGGGGAUGACGGUACCGGAAGAAUAAGCACCGGCUAACUACGUGCCAGCAGCCGCGGUAAUACGUAGGGUGCAAGCGUUAAUCGGAAUUACUGGGCGUAAAGCGUGCGCAGGCGGUUUGCUAAGACCGAUGUGGAAUCCCCGGGCUCAACCUGGGAACUGCAUUGGUGACUGGCAGGCUAGAGUAUGGCAGAGGGGGGUAGAAUUCCACGUGUAGCAGUGAAAUGCGUAGAGAUGUGGAGGAAUACCGAUGGCGAAGGCAGCCCCCUGGGCCAAUACUGACGCUCAUGCACGAAAGCGUGGGGAGCAAACAGGAUUAGAUACCCUGGUAGUCCACGCCCUAAAACGAUGUCAACUAGUUGUUGGGGAUUCAUUUCCUUAGUAACGUAGCUAACGCGUGAAGUUGACCGCCUGGGGAGUACGGUCGCAAGAUU